UACGGAGGGUGCAAGCGUUAAUCGGAAUUACUGGGCGUAAAGCGCACGCAGGUGGCUGAGUCAGUCGAUUGUGAAAGCCCUGGGCUUAACCUGGGAAUUGCAGUCGAUACUACUCAGCUAGAGUAUGGGAGAGGGUAGUGGAAUUCCCGGUGUAGCGGUGAAAUGCGUAGAUAUCUGGAGGAACACCGGUGGCGAAGGCGGCAUCCUGGACCAAUAUUGACGCUGAGGAGCGAAAGCUAGGGGAGCAAACGGG
rnacentral:rRNA from 1 species